rnacentral:piRNA from 1 species
UCGGCCAUCAGAUGUCCUACUAACUUGA